GACGAACGCUGGCGGCGUGCUUAACACAUGCAAGUCGAACGGAAAGGCCCUGCUUUUGUGGGGUGCUCGAGUGGCGAACGGGUGAGUAACACGUGAGUAACCUGCCCUUGACUUUGGGAUAACUUCAGGAAACUGGGGCUAAUACCGGAUAGGAGCUCCUGCUGCAUGGUGGGGGUUGGAAGGUUUCGGCGGUUGGGGAUGGACUCGCGGCUUAUCAGCUUGUUGGUGGGGUAGUGGCUUACCAAGGCUUUGACGGGUAGCCGGCCUGAGAGGGUGACCGGCCACAUUGGGACUGAGAUACGGCCCAGACUCCUACGGGAGGCAGCAGUGGGGAAUAUUGCACAAUGGGCGGAAGCCUGAUGCAGCAACGCCGCGUGCGGGAUGGCGGCCUUCGGGUUGUAAACCGCUUUCGCCUGUGACGAAGCGUGAGUGACGGUAAUGGGUAAAGAAGCACCGGCUAACUACGUG
rnacentral:rRNA from 1 species